rnacentral:lncRNA from 1 species
UUCCAAUAUAACGCCAUGGCAUCGUAACUGUAAUAAAACUAGUACAUCACUCAUGAACAGUGCCUCCACUACACCGUUUUGGAACUUUGAGACGACAUCCGGUGUAUACUAUCAUGAUCAUGGUAAAUUCAUCAUAAAUUUUGGUUCAAAAGAGAGUAAAUGUUUUCGUAUCAUAUGGUUAUAACACAACUAACCGACAAAUAUAAUGAUACAAAGCAAGAACAGACAAUUGAAUGUUAUACAUUUUAUAUAUAUAUACCUAUAUAUCUGCCUAUCUAUAAAUAUGUUCAUGUGUUAGUUUAACAUCUAUAAUAUGUUAUCAAUAUUUACUUAUUUAUAUACAGUUUGCUUAUGUGUGCAUUUAUACCUAUGAUUAUCAGUAUUGAUUAAAACAUGAUCAUUUGUAAAUUUUAAAUAACAUUAUAUUUUUCAGAUACGUUGAAUCCAAUGAGCGGCAUUUUUAAAAUACUAAUUAUGGUGACUACAAUUAUAGGCAUGGUUAUUGUUGUUAUUUUGUAUGCAGCUUGCUAUCGAAUGUGCUGUUCUGGAAAGGAAAAGUACCAUGAUUCGUGCAAAUUAGGAACAUUACAUGUGGCGCUAACUUUAUUUACAUACGUCUUGUAUUUGUUUGAUACUCUGUCAGAUGUGUUCUUGUUCUUGCACUAUAUGACGGUGGGGCCAUUUUUUAAUUGUUUGCUUGUUUUGGCAUUUACUUUUGCACCAGUACUUUUCUUAGCAUUUUUGUUCUUUGCAAAACAACACAACAAGUGUGACUGUGGAUACCAUAACAUAUCUUCCUGGAAAGAGAAAUUGUGCUUUCAAAUAUUUGGUUUGGUGGUGGUGGUCGUUUUUAGUCCAUUUGCAGCACUAUUGCCUACUUUCAUGUACGUACUAAUAUGUAAAAGCCAUGUUUAUCUAUUAUACCAUUUAAGAAAUACACAGGACUUGUCAACUUCAAACCCAAACUGCAUAUUCAAUAUGAUGAACAUUUCAUUAAUUUACAAGUUAGUUGGUCAUCAGUGUACAUCGCAUAGGUUUUCAUCAUGUUGCAAACAUACUACAAACAUACACGUGAGUUCAAAACGACACGAAUAAAAAUCCUACUGGUUAAUUGAGAAAAUAAAUAUCCUAGUUUGCAGUAUUUUUACUUGUUUUCAAAAUGAAUCUUUUUUUUAGAAUUGGAUCUUUUUGUAAUAUGAAAGCACACUAUGGAUACGUAUAAUGAUGUUUACAAAUCUGUUAGAUGAAGCUGUUCUAAUCAUGCUGUGAUCCUCUGUUAGUUUUAACUAUACUACAUGGUAUCGAAAUGUGUUAACCAAACUCGAAAAUGAUUUAUUACUGUUGGAUAUCAAAUGAGUUAUCAAUCAUCAGUUACGUAUUUACAGUUUAAACAUUUCUUUUGUUAUUGCAGUUAUGCUCAGGUUCUG